GGCUUCGUAGGCAAACUGGAAAAGCCGCUUGACUUAGAAUCAAGUGCUCUGUGGGUUCGACUCCCACCGAAGCUA
rnacentral:tRNA from 1 species